CGAUCCUCCACCUUGGCCUCCCAAAGUGUUAUUGGCCUGAGACUAGUUUUAGAAAUACAAUCCAGAAAGCUGCCAGCAGCAGAGCCUGGCUGAGUGGGUGUCCUGCAGGUCAGAGAAUGAGUCACAGCUGUGGAGCUCCUGGAUCAUUCAUCAGCACCACCUAAGACCCUGCUCCAUCCAAUAGAAACAGGGUUGGACUUGGACACUGUGGGUGUGGGAGGAAGGGAUUCGUGUUUCAGUUCCUUUCAUGACGGUCUAUGACUUUUUCGGCUGAUCUUAGCUUGUUGCACUUCGAGGCUUGAGUGGAUUUUAGAGAACCCAGAUGGAGUCUGUGUUAGACACUGAGAAUUGUCUACUCAACAGCUAUCUCCACAUUCUUGCUUAUCAGAAGACUGAUUCUGCUGCUCUUUGUGGUUAAUUCCUUUUCUCUUUCUCUGAGUUGUUUAGACAGAGGCUUGUGGUCUUUCUUGCCUCAGGCCCUCCCCCACCACCAUGAAAUACCAGGGGCACAUCUGGGAAAGUUUUCCUUUUUCUUUUCUUAAGGAGAAGUCCAAGACCAACACUUCCCUCCUCUUGCCUUUGGGCAUUACUGUGGGGGUGUGAAGUCUGGAGCCCUAGGAGCCAUCUUGACACCCUCAAAGAAUCACACAGAGAGUGGUAUGUGACCCUAACACCUUUGUAGGUGUAGACACUAUAAUACCCAACCUGGGCCCCGUCUAUCUGGACUACUUGCUAUGUGAAAUAAUAGAUAUUAUCAUUGAUUAUUAUUUAUUUAUUUUUGCAGCCAUAAGCAGCCUAACACACCUCGAAUCUAAACUCCUUAUUUGACAUAUGGGAAGAAGCAGGUUCAGAGAGAAAAAGCAAAUUGCCCAAGGUCACACUGUGGGUAUGACAGUGUCAGCCUAAAAUCCUUUUUUCCUAUCUUCCUCUCAUGGUGAAAGAAAUUUGUUUCCUGCUUAAUACAUGGGUCAUCUCAAGAAUAAAGUGGGAUUCCACAUGGAUUUGGGAUAAAUGGAGACCGUGUUAAUUGUUCUUUCCUUUUGCCUCACUACAUUUAGGCUGCUAUAACAAAAUACCUUAGACUUGGCAAUUUAUAAACAACGGAAGUUUAUUGCUUACAGUCUGGAAGCUGGGAAAUCUAACACCAGAGCACACAUAGAUUUGGUGUCUGGUGAAGGCCUGUUUUUCUUAGAUGGCGGCUUCUUCGUGAAUCCCCACAUGAUAGAAGGGCAAACAAGCUCUCUCAGGCCUCUUUUUUAUGGCCACUAAUCCCACUGAUGGGGGCUCCUCCUUCAUGACCUAAUUACCUCUCAGAUGUCCCAUUUGCCAACACCACUGUAAUGGGGAGAAAGUUUCAACAUUGAAAUCUGGGGGCGCAGAAGCACUCAGACCACAACACCUUUCUUUCUAGAUGAGAGUCAGAGACAUGAAUUUCAGUCCAAAUCUGCUAUGGUGAGCAUAAUUCUUCAGGAUGACACAAACAAUAAUCACUCCUAUCCAUUCUCACUUGCUAUAAAGAGAUAUCUGAGACUGGGUAACUUCUUUUUUUAAUUUUUUUAUAAAGACGAGCUUUCAUCAUGUUGGUCAGGCUGGUCUUGCACUCCCGACCUCAGGUGAUUCACCCACCUUGGCCUCCAAAGUGCUUGGAUUACAGGCAUGAGCCACCACGCCAGGCCAAGACUGGGUAACUUCUAAAGAAAAGAAGUGUCUUUGGGAGACCGAGGUGGGUGAAUCACAAGGUCAAGAGAUCGAGACCAUCCUGGUCAACAUGGUGAAACCCCAUCUCUACUAAAAAAUACAAAAAUUAGCUGGGCAUGGUGGUGCAUGCUUAUAGUCCCAGCUACUUGGGAGGCUGAGGCAGGAGAAUUGCUUGAACUCAGGAGGUGGAGAUUGCAGUGAGCCUAGAUUGUGCCAUUGCACUCCAGCCUGGCGCCUGGUGACAGAGUAAGACUCUGUCUCAAAAAAAAGAAGAAGAGAUUUAUGCCAGGAUCAGUGGCUCACACCUGUAAUCUCAGCACUUUGGGAGGCCACAGCAGGUGGAUCACCUGAGGUCAGGAGUUCGAGACCAGUCUGGCCAACAUGGUAAAACCCCGUCUUUACUAAAAAUGAAAAAUUAGCCGGGAAUGGUGGUAGGUGUCUAUAAUCCCACCUACUCAGGAGACUGUGGUGGGAGAAUUGCUUGAACCUGGGAGGUGGAGGCUACACUUCAGCCUGGGCGAAGAUGGGUUUUUUUUUCUUUUUAAUUAUUUUUUUCAGAUGGGGUUUUGCGACAGAGCAAAACUCCAUCUGAAAAAAAUAACAAAAAAGUAAAGAAGUGUAAUUGGCUCAUGUUUCUGCAGGCUGCACAGGAAAUGUAGUGGCUUCUGCUUCUGAGGAGGCCUCAGGAAGCUUCCAGUCAUGGUGGAAGGCAAAGCGGGAGACGGCAUCUUACAUGGCUGGAGCGUGAGGAAGACGCUUCCAUGGCCAUAGGUGAUAUUGGCCUAUGUUACCUCUCAUCAUAUAAUCCAAAAGGGAGUCAUACUUUUACCUCUCCUGGAACUACACCCAUCUUAUCCACAGGUCCUGCAGAGAUCAGUGGGACAGAAAGCUGUUUCUUCUAUGAAAUGGAAAUGACAUCCCCUGCCUAAGAGCAGUGGCAUAACAAUUCCACAAGCUAGCAUCUUUGAAAUCAUUCAAGGUUUGGUGAUAAGCUAUUAGCUACAACAGCAAAGCUACAGGGCAUGGGAGAAAAAGCUGGUCACUUGGACUUUGUUAACGUUAAAAACUUCUGCUUUGUGAAAGACACUAUUGAGAGAGUCAAAAGGCAAGCCACAGAAUGGGGGAAAAUGUUUGCAAAACAUGUCUGACAGAGGACUGAUAUACAAAAGACACAUCAACCCAACAACAAGAAAACAAACAAUCCAAUUAAAAAGUGAGCUAAAGGUGCAAUCAGACACCUCACUAAGUAAGAGAUACGGAAGAGAAAUAAUCAAGUGAAAAGUUGAUCAACAUAAUUUGUCGUUAGGGAAUUGCAAGUUAAAACAACCACGAGAUACCACUACACACCUAUUAGAAUGGCCAAAAUCCAAAACACUGACAAUGCUAAAUGCCGAUGAGGAUGUGGAGCAAUGGUAUAGCCACUGGAGAAAAGAGUGUGGCAGUUUCUUACAAAACUAAAUCUAAUCUUACUCUAUGAUCCAGCAAUAUACUCCUAGGUAUUGAUCCAACUGAUUUGAAAAUGAAUGUUCAAACAGAAACCUACACACUAUUAUUUAUAGCAGCUUUAUUUUCAUAAUUGCCAAAAACUGAAAGAAAAAACCCACAGUCUCCUUCAAUAAGUGAAUUGGUGGACGUACUGUGAUACUUAUACACCCUAGAAUACUAUUUAUGAUUUAAAAAAUAAGAAUGCUAUCAAGCUGUGGGAGGCUAUGAAUGAAUCUUCGAUGUGUAUUGCUAGAUGAAGAAAGGGACUGACAAGUCUGUGUACUGUAGGAUUCCAAGUAUGUGCCAUUCUAGAAAAGGCAGAAGAUAAGUGGUUGUUAGGGAUUCUGGGGAGCACUGAACAGAUGAGCUUCAGGGGAUUUUUAGAGUGGUGAGACCAUUACGCAUAAUACUGCAAUUGUGGAUGACAUAUGACAGUAAGCAUUUAUGAUAGAACUUCACAGCACACAGGGAACCUUUGUACUUAAAUGAAUUAAAAAAAAAAAAGCAUUUAGGAUGUAAAGGGAACCCAGGAUCAGAUGCAUAAAGUAGUAAAACAAUCUAAUUGUAUCACAAAUGUAUAAAACAACCACAGCAAUGGGGUGGAGGAAAUUGUUGUAGACCUAAGUAACUUUGGAAAUGAAUGGAGUCCAUAAAAUUAAAGGCAAAAGAGACUAUAUAUAAAUACUGCACUUUAGUUGAAAAGUUGUUUCCUGUGAGAUAUGGGUUAACAAUUAUGAUACUGCUAUACAGUAUGCUGGGAUUGAACAAAUAAAUAAAAGGAUGGCUAUUGGGGGAAGCCAGUUUUUUACUAUUGGAGGGGACUGCAUAGGUAAGAUAGAGGAGGAAGCUAGAAUGAUCUACAUGAUAAUGGAUUUGAGUUGGAGAUAUCAGUGUAAACCAUGUUUAGCUUAAUAUAGAGACAGAUGUUUAUAUAAAGGAAAUGUAUAGACAUGGAUAUAUACACAGGUUAGUGUACACACAUGCAUGUUUUCUGCUCUGUCAGCUGAGAGAGCCUAGAAGCAGUGACAUCUCAGUAGCUACAAGCAUACCUAGAGUCCACAUUUUGGUUUUCAGUAUUAUUGUAUAGAACAAAGAACCAGCAAUCCUUGGAGAAAUGGCUGAAUCUAUGACUGGGGCAGGACAUUUAUAAGAUGAUACCAGGUGUUGAACAAUGAGAGCACAUGGACACAGGGAGGGGAGUACUACACA